rnacentral:lncRNA from 1 species
AUAAGAGUUGCCACAUCAAUGUUAUAAUGACUUAAUUAGUUAAAUUGUUGGUAUUAAAUGUUUUAUUCCAAUGUUAUUUAAUGUUAUUAUUUAUAUGUCAUUUUAACGACUGCUGGGAUUUAAAAUAUUGUAUUUUAAAAAUCAUAUUCAGUGCAAUUGUACAUAAUGGAUUGUAUGGAAAGGAACAACAAAGAAAGAACAAAGAAAAUGUAUGUGCAGUGUCCGUGGCAGGGCAGAAAUUGGACCAGGAGAUAUCAUGGACUAGGACACAGGGACAGGCUGUCUCCUUCAGCUGCAAAGAUACUUACCAGUGUACAACGUUUGUCUACUGGUACCAGAAGAAGGAGGGAGAACCUUUUACCUUGAUUCUUGACAUCCAAAAGGAUAACUGCGCUGUCGAUGCAAGUUACAACCAUCCUCAAAAAGAUGACUUCUCAGCAACAAGUAUGAAUAACAACUGUGAUCUAAAAAUCCAGUCUGUUAAAGUCUCCCAUUCUGCCACCUACUACUGUGCCUGCUGGAACCCACAGUGACAACACAUCCAUUCACCCUGUACAAAAACUCUGGUUUUAGUCAAGCUGUGAAUUUAUAAAAAUUAAAAAACAUAAUCAGAGGAACAUUUUUAGAUGUCUCUCCCAGCUGGUGUUUCAUCUCUCAUCUUCAUAAUCGACUAUAUGAUGAAAACCAUACUUCAGUAAAGAUCUGUG